rnacentral:ncRNA from 1 species
GUGGUCCGGGCCCCUCUGGCGAGCGCAGCCGGUGCUCUCGCGAUGUCGGACCGCUUC